CCUACGGGAGGCUGCAGUUUCGAAUCAUUCACAAUGGGCGAAAGCCUGAUGGUGCGACGCCGCGUGAGGGAUGAAGGCCUUCGGGUUGUAAACCUCUGUCACUGGGGAAGAAACGCUUCAAGUUAAUAGCUUGAAGCCUGACUUAACCCAGAGAGGAAGCAGUGGCUAACUCUGUGCCAGCAGCCGCGGUAAUACAGAGACUGCAAUCGUUAUUCGGAGUGCGUAGGCGUAAAGGGUUCGCAGGCGGCCGAGCCCGGGGCUUAACCUCGGAAUUGCGCCUAAAACUACACGGCUAGAGCAUUGGAGAGGGUAGCGGAAUUCACGGUGUAGCAGUGAAAUGCGUAGAUAUCGUGAGGAACACCAGAGGCGAAGGCGGCUACCUGGACAAUUGCUGACGCUCAGGCACGAAAGCGUGGGGAGCAAAAGGGAUUAGAUACCCCAGUAGUC
rnacentral:rRNA from 1 species